rnacentral:rRNA from 1 species
CGCCCGCUCAGAAACUCCAAUGAAGUUGACGGGGGCCCGCACAAGCGGUGGAGCAUGUGGUUUAAUUCGAUGAUACGCGAGGAACCUUACCUGGGCUCAAAUGUAUGUUGACGUAUUCUGAAAGGGAUACUUCUUCGGACAAUAUACAAGGUGCUGCAUGGUUGUCGUCAGCUCGUGCCGUGAGGUGUCGGGUUAAGUCCCAUAACGAGCGCAACCCCUAUCAUUAGUUGCCAUCAGGUCAAGCUGGGGACUCUAAUGAAACUGCCUACGCAAGUAGUGAGGAAGGUGGGGAUGACGUCAAAUCAGCACGGCCCUUAUGUCCUGGGCUACACACGUGCUACAAUGGCCGGUACAGAGCGCAGCGAGGCCGCGAGGCGGAGCGAAUCGCUUAAAGCCGGUCCCAGUACGGAUUGGAGUCUGCAACCCGACUCCAUGAAGUUGGAAUCGCUAGUAAUCGCGCAUCAGCAUGGCGCGGUGAAUACGUUCCCGGGCCUU